GGGGAAUAUUGCGCAAUGGGGGGAACCCUGACGCAGCAACGCCGCGUGAGCGAGGAAGGCCUUCGGGUCGUAAAGCUCUGUCAUUAGGGACGAAGUAAGUGACGGUACCUAAGGAGGAAGCCCCGGCUAACUACGUGCCAGCAGCCGCGGUAAUACGUAGGGGGCGAGCGUUGUCCGGAAUUACUGGGCGUAAAGGGCGUGUAGGCGGCCGGUUAAGUCAGAUGUGAAAGGCCUCGGCUUAACCGAGGCAUUGCAUUUGAAACUGGCCGGCUUGAGUGCAGGAGAGGAAAGUGGAAUUCCUAGUGUAGCGGUGAAAUGCGUAGAUAUUAGGAGGAACACCAGUGGCGAAGGCGACUUUCUGGACUGCAACUGACGCUGAGGCGCGAAAGCGUGGGUAGCGAAC
rnacentral:rRNA from 1 species